UUCUUCGGGUGACGUCGAGUGUGAACACAAGUGUCUUCGAAGUUUCCCGGUGUUUUAAUUAAUAUUAUUUGUUUAAAUUGCUGUUGACUUGCGCUACUGAUUCGUGUUGGUGUUGGUAUAUAUCUGUUGUGCCGUGAGUGUAAAUAUAUUGUGUUUGUUAUAUUAUUAAAAGGUUAGUAAUUCAACAGUUGAUUACUUUGUAAAAUAAUAAUAAUUAAAAUUGAUGUGACCUUGUGCAAUCACGAAGCCCACCCAACAAAAAAGAAUCCAAACUUCACCAAAAGACAUCAGCUGAGCAUAAUCAAAACCACAGACUAUAAAACUUGACUUUGGCGAAAUCAAAAAGGACCGCCAUUACAAAAGAAAAUGUAAAUGUAAUACAAAUACAUUUCACCUCACUAUCAUGACAGAGGCAAUAAUAAAGUCUGCUGUUAGAUAGUUUUUAGCAAGACCAUUAUAAGGUGAACUCCAAUUAUAAGUAAAUCCAUGUUAUUUACUCUUAAUUAAAACUGGUUAAUCUCGAGACACAUUUAACAUUGUGUCUCGAGAUUAACAUUAAUUAUUCCCUUGCACUGUUUGUUGUAUGUUAGUUGAACUCUUAUCAUGAGGUUAUUGUGGUUUGAUAAGACACUGGUGUUCAUAAAUAUUUGUCUCUUUAUUACAGUUUAUGUGUUAUAGGGAUAAAUUAUGUGGAUAAAUAUGAAUAUUUAUCGGAGACAAAAUAGGUAUUAUGAAAUAUGGGUUUCGGUUUUGCAAAUGAAAAUUUUUGGGUGAAUUAUUUGGUAUUAAUUUGUUCUCUAGAGGUCAUACACAUCACAAAAUGGAUACGUGUGUGGGACCGACGUGUGAGUGGUCCGUGGUCAGUGGGUGGGACGCUAUACCGUUAUGAGGUCCCUGCAUUGAGGGGUAUAUAGGACUAGUAGAAUGGCCACCCGGUAAAGAACUCCCUUAAACUCUCAUCUGGACGUCCGAUCCCCGGGACAGGAGUAGUUCCAACUGUAAAAGUAGUUUCAUGUCUAAAUCAAUUUAAUGAGUUUUUUAAUAUUCUAAGAUGGGUGGACAAGCUCACGGUCAAACUGGUAUUCACUGGUUACUGAAGCCCGUAGAUAUCAACAAUGUAAAUGCCGCCACCCACUUUGAGACAUGAGUUCUAAGGUCUCAUAGUAUAGUUAGAACGUCUGCCCCACCCUUCAUACCGAAACGCAUUACUGCUUCACGGCAGAAAUAGGCAGGGAGGUGGUACCUACCCACGCGGACUCACAAGACGUCCUACCACCAGUAAUUACGCAAAUUAUAAUUUUGCGGGUUUGAUUUUUAUUACACGAUUUUAUUCCGUCACAGUGGAAGUCAAUCGUGAACAUUUGUUAAGUAUGUACAUAUCGACGCUUGAAAGGCAAACUUGACUAAGCGACAAUGCGUGAACUUUACAGUAGACUAAUUUAAAGUUGAAAUACCUGGAAAAAAAAUUUAUUUUAACGAAUCUAGCUGUAGUAGAAUCUAGCUAGUAGCUGUAGGAUUGAAAUGAUUUUAAUAGACCUAGAAAUAAAUUUUUUUUGCGCAUCGAAUAUGGUUAUUGCCUAUCAUUUAUGUACAAAGCAGUUAUUGUCGCUUAGUCACGUUUGCCUUUCAAGCGUCGAUAUAUAUUUCUUCUAAGUCUCCGCUUUUACAGUACAACUAUCUGCCGACGCUAUCUAGACUGAGAUAUAGAUAAAAAGACGAAGACGAAUUAUUGGAAAUAGCCCAAAAGAAACUUUUAGUCUCCAUUGGCAUCACGGUAUAAUGUAUAUAUGGACCGUUUAUUUUGAAAGUGGUGUAAGUUCGUUUUCUUUUGUUUCGAGAAAAUUAAAGGUUGAUAUAUACUAUAUUUGUUGAUUUCAAAAUACAGGCAAAUCAUAUGAGGUCUGGCUAUGCCACCUACCUCUGUCAAUUGGACUUACACCACUUUCAUCUUCUUCCUAUUCGUACACUCUUGACAGAGUGGUCGUGGUCAUGCAUCAGUCGGAUACGACCUGCUCAUGACUCUCGUGGGAAAUUAGUGCAGUGGUUUCCCGUUGCCUUCUGCACCAGCAUUUUAGGGGGUAUUUGAUCCCCAAGGUUUCUGACGCCUCUUCCGUACAGGUUGUCCUGACGGGUGUGUAUGGUUAUACCGCCAUUGCUCGGUCGCCAUUGCCCCGUUCGUUCUCUAGCAGGGAGCACCACGGCAACCUGUUGGUCGCCGCCGCCAUCCGGCGCGUGCAGGUGGGGUUGACAAUAGGGCCGGUGAAGGUAGCAUUCCGAUCUCCCCUUACUCCCCCUUACCACUUUCAUAAUCGAUGAUUAUGCAAUUUCAUUUACCGACCGAUUUUAAGUUGUACAAAACAUGGGAUUUUUUUUUGAGAAAUUAGACACGGAUUAGUUAUAUAUAUAAAAAUUACAUUAAAUUAAGCAUGAAUUACGUGAUAGCUCAUUUUUCUCAAAAAUGGACUUAGACCACUUUUUUUUUGUUGCUUAGAUGUGUGGACGAGCUCACAGCCCACCUGGUGUUAAGUGGUUACUGGAGCCCAUAGACAUCUACAACGUAAAUGCGCCACACACCUUGAGAUAUAAGUUCUAAGGUCUCAGUAUAGUUACAACGGCUGCCCCACCCUUCAAACCGAAACGCAUUACUGCUUCACGGCAGAAAAACCUAGGCGGGGCGGUGGUACCUACCCGUGCGGACUCACAAGAGGUCCUACCACCAGUAAUUACGCAAAUUAUAAUUUUGCGUGUUCGAUUUUUAUUCCACGAUGUUAUUCCUUCACCGUGGAAGUCAAUCGUGAACAUUUGCUGAGUACGUAUUUCAUUAGAUAAAUUGGUACCCGCCAGCGGGAUUCGAACACCGGUGCAUCGCUCGAUACGAAUGCACCGGACGCCUUAUCCUCUAGGCCAGUGAUUAUCAAACUUAUUUCUUUUACCGCCCCCUUUGAAAAUCAAUUAUUUUUCAGCGCCCCCCAUUUUUUAUACACCCCUAAAACUUUAAAACCACAAUUUCAUUAAUUUAAUUAAUAAAUGUUGUAUUAAUUUUAGUAAAUGUAGUACCACGUAGUACAUAAUUAUGUAUUUGUAGAUGCUAUUAUUGUUUCUUCAUAUUAUUAUAUGUCCGUACAUUGCUACAGAGCGUGUAUUUACAAAUUUCCAAAGUAAAAAUGAAUUCUUCUCAUCAAUAUGUUUGUUUAAAUUCUUCUGAAUCACCAAAAUAAAUUACUAGUUCACUGUACUAUUACUAUGCUAAUUUAUUAGAACGAAACUAUUUUUGUUGAAUAUCUUUCUCAUUAAUAUAAGAUUCUCAUCAUAAGAUAAUUAAAAAAUUAUAUUUCGACUAGUAAAUAAUACUACUAACAAUAAUAACUUAUUAAACUACGAAUAAGCUAAACUUGGAAGUCGUAGAGGAUUUCAUUUAUCUGGGCUUCGUCAUAGCUAGUAAUGGAUUCUCCGAAAAGGACCUCAGAAGGCGAAUCAGUAUGGCAAAGAGAGCUAUGUCCCAAAUGGACCGUGUUUGGGCGGACAGAAAGAUCUCGAGGAAUACCAAAAAGCAGCUCGUCACCUCCCUCGUCUUUUCCAUUUUUCUCUACGGCGCAGAGACUUGGAUCCUCAAGAAAACCGAUCGCCAACGCAUCGACGCGUUUGAGAUGUGGUGCUGGAGGAAAAUGCUCGGGAUUCGUUGGACAGAACACAGAACCAACGAAUCCAUUCUUACCGAGCUCAAGAUUCCAAUGCGCCUCAGCACUACAUGCGCGCGGAGAAGUUUCGAGAUCUUUGGACAUAUCGCCAGAAAGAGAGGUGACAAUCUGGAAAAGCUGCUGGUAACAGGCAAGGUAUGCGGAAGAAGUCACAGAGGCAGAAAUCCAAUGCGCUGGUCGGACCAAAUACGCUCCACUCUCAAUAUCUCACUCCACGUUGCUAUCCACACAGCCGAGGACAGGCAGGAAUGGCGCAAGAUGAUGCAGGAGAAAGUUAUUAGAGGAGGCCACGACCCUCAGCACUGAGGAUUAUCGACGCAAGAAGGAAGGAAACUACGAAAAAUAAAUUAAUAUCAUUUCGUAUUAUAGAUAAAUAUGGGUAAUUUUUCAUAGAAUUUUAGUUUAAAAUUUAGAACUGGUUCAAAUAAAAACCGCCGCUUAGGCGUGAGGUGAGCGUUUUUAUUAUUUGUAAUAAUUAAUAACUAUACUAUUCUAUACUAAUAUUAUAAAGAGGAAAGAUUUGUUUGUUUGUUUGUAUUCAAUAGGCUCCGAAACUACUAAUCCGAUUUGAAAAAUUCUUUCACUGUUUGGAAGCUUCACUAUUCCCGAGUGACAUAGGAUAUAAUCUUUUUUGAAAAAAAUUAGGUAUCCUUACUAAAACUCCAAUAAUUUAACCCAAGGUGUAAAAAAAAUUUCCUAAAAUAUUCUUUACGUCGCGUACCUACGAAAACUAUUGAUGAUAGAAUAAAAUAAUGUACUACGACUUUGUAGAAAACAUUAUUAUUUACAAAAAGUGUCGCGACAGCAUAUGUCUAACUAUUAUAGUUAUGCCGCAAUAAGUGUUCUUUUAUUUAAAAAAAUGCCCCUGGUAAGACACGGAGUGCCCCCCUACCUUCGCCGACUGGUGGCUCCCUACUUGGAGGACAGAUUGGUCACGUGUACUGGACACGGUGGGAUCGUGCACAGGCUCCCGGUCGUGCGCGAUGUUCCACAGGGGUCGGUGCUCGGCCCCCUUUUGUGGAAUAUCGGGUAUGACUGGGUACUGAGAGGUGCCCUCCUCCCGGGCCUAAGCGUAAUCUGUUACGCAGACGACACGCUGGUCGUGUCCCGGGGGGGUUUUGCUGAGUUUGCUCGUCUUGCUACCGUUGGGGUGGCGCAUGUCGUCGGCAAAAUCAGGAGAUUGGGCCUCGACGUGACACUCAGUAAAUCCGAGGCCAUGUAGUUCCACAGGCCCCGGAGAGUGCCACCUGUCGAUGCCCAUAUCGUGGUUGGAGGCGUCCGUAUCGGGUUGGAGUGCAGUUGAAGUACCUCGGCCUCAUUCUGGACAGUCGUUGGACCUUCCGUGUUCACUAUCAGAACCUGGUCCCUCGUUUGUUGGGGGUGGCCGGCGCGUUAAGCCGACUUCUUCCCAACAUCGGGGGGCCUGACCAGGUGACGCGCCGUCUCUAUACGGGGAUGGUGCGGUCAAUGGCCUUAUACGAGGCGCCCGCGUGGGGCCAGUCACUGGCCGUGCGGGUAGCGAAGUUGCUGCAACGGCCGCAACGCACCAUCACGGUCAGGAUCAUCCGUGUUUAUCGCACCAUCUCUUUCGAGGCGGCGUGUGUACAAGCUGGGACGCCACCUUGGGUCCUGGAGUCGGAGGCGCUCGCCGCUGACUAUCAGUGGCGGGCUAACCUUCGUGCCCGGGGCGUGGCGCGUCCCAGCCCCAGUGUGGUCAGAGCGCGGAGGGCCCAAUCUCGGCGGUCCGUGCUGGAGUCAUGGUCCAGCCGGCUGGCCGAUCCUUCAGCUGGUCGUAGGAGGCGAUUCGCCCGGUUCUUGUGAAUUGGGUGAAUCGUGACAGAGGACGCCUCACUUUCCGGCUCACGCAGGUACUCACUGGGCAUGGUUGCUUCGGUGAAUUCCUACACCGGAUCGGAGCCAAGCCGACGGCAGAGUGCCACCAUUGUGGUUGCGACUUGGACACGGCAGAGCAUACGCUUGUCGCCUGCCCCGCAUGGGAGUGGUGGCGGCGUGUCCUCGUCGCAAAAAUAGGAAACGACUUGUCGUUGCCGAGUGUUCUGGCAUCGAUGCUCGGUGACGACGAGUCGUGGAAGGCGAUGCUCGACUUCUGCGAGUGCACCAUCUCGCAAAAGGAGGUAGCGGGGCGGGUGAGAGAUGCACAGGCCCGCCCCCGUCGAGCGGGGUCCAGGGAGGCGGAUCUCGCCCAAGCCCUGGCCCUCUAAGUGUUUCGGGUCUCCCUCACAUGUCGGCCUGGGGACCGGCGAAGGGGGCCUAAGAAGACGACGUGCAAGCUGCUCUGCAUACGUUUUACGUAUGAGCAUCCGGGUGAUGGAAGGCCGGCUAUCCCCAACCCACCCUGGUUCUGACCCAGCGGGGUAUUCCGUAGGAUAGAUCAUUCUACCCGGCGCCAUCUAGGCGGGCUUCGGACAGCCUGCCAACCGAGAGGGCUGGUGGUCGUGGCGCCGACGACCGCCAGUCCGGCAUCCCGAGGGGGAGGGUGAUGGGAGAAAUGUGCUCCGCACUAAACACUUCACUUUCCCCCUUUGCCUUUUCAUGAGCUCUGUCUCAUGCGACGUUUGGAUGCUGGUUGUUGAGCGACAGGAGGUUUUAGUGGGUUCGAUUCCGACAUGCCCCGCCUUCCAUCCCCAGUGAAGGGCGGAAGUCCGGCGAUUUCCACCUGACAAAAAAAAAACGUGUGGCACUCGGGAACUGCGGCGGUAAAGCUAUUGCAUAGCAUUUUUUAUCAACUUAUGACAUUAUAAUUAGACAAUGAUAAUUUAAUAUUAAAACAAUAAUAAAACAAGACCACGCUAUAUUAAACCUUAAUAAAGGCAAAACCUUAACUGUCCCCUUCACACUCAUAAACUAAACCGCGCGAGAGAGAGAUGGGCAGACUUUUCAUGAUGCGCAUGCAGGGUGACGUCACGCCACUCGCUUAUUCACAAACACUACACAAGCGCAACGUGUGAAUGUGUUGAACGCGAGCUACAUGGUAGGCGGAGUGAGGUGUGUUAGGUUUUUUUCGUUACGGAAUUUCAUGAUUCGGUCGCCGCGCUCAAGGCCCGCGACAAAAGCUAUGCAAUAGCUUAAAAAUGUAUGAACUUGCAAUAAAAUCUCUUUGGCUAUACUAUUUGUAUCUGGCUGGUUUUGGUAUCAUUAAAAGUUUAAAUUCGAAAGAAGAUAAUUCCAAAUUAAAAUUAGGAAGAUGUGUGAUUUUUGUUUAUUUUAAGAAGAUAUUCGAUACAUUUUAAAAUUUUACUACAAAAAGGGUAAAAAAGCAACGCAAGCCGUGAAAAAAAAUUGCGUUUUGCAAAUUUGAUUUAAGCGUUUUCAAUCCGGAAAUUUUGAUGUCAAAAACGCACGUCGCUCUGGUCGCCUUAUUACGGAUAAAAUCGAUGCCAUUUUUGAAAAAGUGGGGCAAGAUCGGCAUAUCAAUAGUUACAACGUAACUGAAGAACUGGGAAUUGAUCACAAAAUAGUUAUGGCGCCUUUGAAAAAAACUGGGUACACAAAAAAGCUCACUGAAAGAAACCUAAUGAACCGUGUACUCAUUUGUGAUUCUUUAUUACGACGUAAUGAAACCGAACCAUUUUUGAAGAAGCUGAUAACUGGUGAUGAAAAGUGGAUCACGUACGACAAGAACGUACGAGAAAGGUUGUGGUCAAAGGCCGGUCAGGCUUCACAGACUCUGGCGAAACGAAACGAACUCUACUGCGAACAACUGAUGAGAUUAAAGCAAGAAGUUGAGAGAAAGCGGCCGGAAUUAAUCAACAGAAGGGGUGUGGUUUUUCAUCACGAUAACGCUAGACCUCACACAUCUUUAGCCACUCAGCAAAAAUUAAGAGAGCUUAGCUGGGAGGUGUUAAUGCAUCCGCCGUAUAGUUCUGACCUUGCACCUUCAGGUUUCUACCUGUUUCGGUCUCUUCAGAAUUCUUUAGGCAGUGUCAGGUUAACAUCACGAGAGGACUGCCAAAACCAAUUGUCGCGGUAUUUUGAUCAGAAGCCCCAAAAUUUUUAUAGCAAUGGGAUCAUGUCCCUACCUACAAGAUGGCAAAAAGUUAUCGAACAAAAUGGUACCGACAUACUUUAGUUAAAUGUGAAUAAACUAUAUUAAAAAAUGUUGUGAAUUUUCUUAAAAAAUGCGAUGAAACUUUUUCCCCAACCUAUUAUUAUAUAGAAAUAAAAUAGUAAACAAUGUUUACAAUAAGUGAGCUGUUUAGGCUUACUAUACUAUUAUACUAUUUGACAUUGGACGGUAAUGGAUAAAUUGUAAAAAAUUAUAAUCUAAGACAAGUUUUUGAACAAUAAUUAUAUACGCAUUUCCAUUUUAUAUAAAAAUUAUGAUUCUUACAUCAGUAAUUUCUUAUAAAAUGCUAGGAAAAUGCUUUAAAAUGCCCUUAUGUUAAAAACAAGAAAGAAAGUAAAGAAAACCUCAAUUUGUGUUAGUUUACGUAUGUGUAAUAUUUUAAAACUCUGCAUGGUAGUUUUUUUUCUAAUGUUUAAAAUAAUUUCUGGUGUAAUGUAAUGUAAUUAAGGUAAAAUUGCUCUAAUUUUUUAACUAUCAUCGAUCAUGUUCCGCAGAAACUUGUUACAACUUGAUUGCGUACGGUGUGUGGGCUAUCCUACGAAAUCUAUGUUAAUUAUUUUAAGUUUUUAUAAGAUCAUACAGGGUAGAAAUAUAAACUAAUUAUUCGUUAUAGUGUAGUAGGUGAGUUUUAAUUUUAGUAAAAUUUAAAAUACUAUAAAGUAAAUGAAAUUACAAAUUUUACAGCGCCCCCCUAACCCACAUCAACGCCCCCCAUUUUUUCCUGGGCCCCUUAACGCCCCCCUCUAGGUUUCAAACGCCCCCCAGGGGGCGCUAUCGCCCACUUUGAGAAAGACUGCUCUAGGCCACGACGACUUCAAAAUAAACGGUCCAUAUAUGUAUAUAAAGCAACUAUCCUUUGAUUUACAUAAGUAAACACGAUACGAAAGUUGACACAAGCAAAGGUUAGCUAUUAUCAGUUUAUAACACGAACGUACAUACAUAUCAAACGAAUCUCUCGUCAUAAAUAUGUAAAGAAUCAUUAACCCUCGCCUUGUUCUAGAAACAUCUUAAAACAACUUAGUGACUCAUUCUUCGUUUGUUAUUAGUACAAUAAAUUAUAUCUAUUAAGCCCACUGAGUUUCUUGCCGGUUCUUCUCAGUGGAUCGCGUUUCCGAUUCGGUGGUAGAUUCGGCGAAGCACUGCUCUUGCUAGGGCCAGUGUUAGCAGCACUCCGGUUUGAGCCCCGUGAGCUCACCGACACGUUAGGGUGAAGCUGAAAUAGCCCCUAAAGGCUAUCAGCAUAUGUGGGAAAAUAGAAAAGAAAAAGAAAAAGAAACAUGAAGCAUGAAACAAGAUCCGAAUAUAUUGUCGAUUCUUCUUAAAAUAGCAAUCUGCAAUGUAUCAUGUAAUAAAGAAUAUGAACUAAUUAAGAAACAAAUAUUAAAUAAAGGUGUGAAAUAAUAAUAUUUUAUCUAUAUUUCUAUACUAAUAUUAUAAAGAGGAAAAAUUUG